UCUUGCUCCUGAUACACAUGGUGGUCCAAUGGUGAACCCUUUCACUACAGAGGGAAGCUACACCUAAGCAUCCAUGCAGUUUGUGAAACAUUUACAAAAACAAGUCAACACGAGACUUUUAUCUGAACACAGGCACAAAUAACUACUCCUCUGACCGAGUACAAGUAUUCCACUGGCUGCUGCUCUCCAUACUAAGUCUUUGGGUCCACUGAGGAGUCUGAACUGGAGGUGGAAGGCUGCAGUUCUGCUGGAUAACUGGACCAGCCCCUGACCCCCUUUUUCUUUGGGAAGAUGGAGGAUGCUUUGCAGAAUCCAGUGUAGGCCGUCCCAGAAGAAAUCCACCAGCAGGGCCUGGAUGUUUACUAGCAGGUUUGGUGGCAGAUCCAUGCAUGCCAGCUUGUGCCAGAUGGACGACGCGGCAAGACACUUUGAUCUCAGAGGCAGAGAAAACAAGCAGUGAAUGGGAAGCAACUGACUCAGAGGCCAUGAAUGUGGAUCCACCCUGCUAGUCGUAACCAGUCAAAUUCCCGCUUCUUCUGUUCCGCUACAAGGCUCACAAGAAGCGCAGCUCAACAACCCAGGAUUCAAAUGAUCCAAAUCUAUCAGGCUGUCGGAGGAUCUCCUGUGCGCCCUGUUGAAGACAUCCUAUACUUUUCCAUAGGAUUGACCUGGACUGGGCCUUUCCAAAACCUUGAAGUUUUUUCUUUGUUAGCUUGGAUUUGUUCUCAUGCUGAAAGGUGAGAUUCUUCAUCUUAAGCUGACUUCAGAGGCCUGUAUGGUAGGGUUAAUAUCAAAAUAUUUGUGCCAGAUAUGUUGCUUUUGGACCCUUGUCAGCCUCCCUGAAGUUUAGGUAAUUUCCACUCCAUCUGUAAGCAUUUUCUUCAAGGAAUAUGAUAAUGACUAAUAGUUAUGGAGAGUUAAGAGUUACGCUGACUAGUGAAAUUUGGGGUCAAUACUCUCACUUAAAAUGUUCAGUAUUUUGUCUUAUAUGCAUAUAUAAAAAGACACAGAAGAAAUGUGCACCAACCAGUGAGCAAUGUGUAUUUCUUUUUAUUACUAUUAUUAUUAUAUUCUAUUUUAUCAUUUACAGUAGUGUUUUGACUAUAAAACUACAUGACAAUCUACUUUUUUUUAAAAAUAAAUGUUUUUGUAUAUUUUUAUUUUAUUUAUUUUUUUAUUUUGCCGCUAGCAAGUAUUUUUAAAGAACCAUAUAAAAAAUCAUUUGAGUCCAAGUGAAAAAUCCACUGUCCUCGUGUGACAUAUUGAAACGUUAGCUUUUUUUGUUAUUCUGCUAUUUACUACACAUAUAUAUCAUCUACGAAAACUUUACAUGAUUACAUAUAUGAACAAAACGGUAUGUAUUUCUCGGCAUGAACGACUAUAAGUUUAAAAACUGUAGUAUUUGAACACCACAAAUGACUAAGAAUAGUAUUCUGUUGCAAAGCUGUUGUUGGAAGAGAGACAUUUACAGUAGCAAGUACUUUGCUUUUUUCAGAAUUGUACUGAAUUUUGUCCCUUUCCCUCUUGACAAAUCAUCUUCACUUCCCCAAGGUUAAGAUGCUCCAUCUAAUCACCCUUCUAAUACUUUCUUAAAACCUGGAUUUAUGUCACAGCUGAAUGAGAAAUUCUAAAUAAAACUCACUGAACGUAUCUUAUAA